CAAUAAAUUGAUAAAUCUAAAUAUCUAAAUUGAUUCAAUCAAAUAAAUAAACACCUAUGUACAUCUACCAUUAAUCGCCUAAUUAAAUACAACACUAAAUAACUAAAUACUUCCUCUCCCAAACAAAAACUCUUUUUCCGAUGACUUGCCUAAUGCCUACUUCUAAAAUUGCUUCCAAACAAUGCUAGCGAGGAUUGUAAGUCCUCAAAAUACAAAUGAUUUCUCUUUGGGUUUUCUUGCUUCGGCUUUCCAAUAGUCUGCUAAAUCACUAACCAAAAAAAAACAUAUAAUUCCCAAACUGCUUCAGACAAAAAUUCACCUUUAAUUUGUUUGGUGGGACGAGAGACAACUGCAUUUAUUGUUUUGCAGAUCACCGUGGAUCCCCCAGAAUCGGACAACGACGUUAAUGCCUCUGGACAUAACCCGGACCACGACUCGACAGAUCCCCCGGCACCUCUUCCUCUUUUCAGAUCCGGACAGCGGGCUCCACGAGUCGGACAACGAGGCUACUACCACCUGGUAAUACCUGGACCACAACUCGGGACCCACACUUCCUUCCCUUCUACCUCCGAUACAUAACUACCAUGUCCAUUUUCCUCACUUCUACUCCUCUCAGCGGCUACGACGGCUAGGAUUUAUUCCCGGCUCGCGGACCGGCUGAGUUUCGUUCUACCAGGGUUCCAUUUUACACCGGGUCUUUAAGACUCGUGUUUCAAAUCGAUCCCUUCUAUUUCCUUUGGACGCCAUUUGUUAUGAUCCGCCUCUUUGCCACCCUGGCCUAUCGUUCCCAGCUAGCUCACGGGGAAGUCAGGGGUGUUUCCGACCCGAUAAGUCAGGGGACGGAUUGAACAAAACAAAAACAAAAAAACAUACAAAAAAAACAAAUCUAAUUUAUAGGACAGACUUGUCUUCGUUGGCACUUUCGUCAGCGGGGAUAGUUGGUUUCGUUAUCCCUAGCAGGGUCCCACCCUUUCAUGAGCGCCACCUUCCAUGAGCGCUCCCUUUUCAUAUUCAGGGUCCCACUCUUCUUCUCGCUCUCGUCCCACCCAACUACCGUUUUCUAUUCACUCAUGACUCUGUUCAAAUUUUCAUUUUUAUAUCCAUUAUAUUUUCUUACUUAUCUUCUUGAACAUUAAUUCAUAAUCUAGGUUUAUAUAAAGGAAACAAAUACUAACACCAAAAAAAUACUAACAAAAA